GUCUCGGUGGCGCAAUGGUAGCGCGUUGGACUUCUACUUAAUCUCCUCCAGGUUAAUCCAAAGGCUGCGGGUUCGAGCCCCGCCCGAGAUG